GAUGAACGCUGGCGGCGUGCUUAACACAUGCAAGUCGAACGAUGAAGCCCAGCCUGCUGGGCGGAUUAGUGGCGAACGGGUGAGUAACACGUGAGUAACCUGCCCUUGACUCUGGGAUAAGCCCGGGAAACUGGGUCUAAUACCGGAUAGGAGCGCCUGUCGCAUGACGGGUGCUGGAAAGAUUUUUCGGUCAUGGAUGGACUCGCGGCCUAUCAGCUUGUUGGUGAGGUAACGGCUCACCAAGGCGACGACGGGUAGCCGGCCUGAGAGGGUGACCGGCCACACUGGGACUGAGACACGGCCCAGACUCCUACGGGAGGCAGCAGUGGGGAAUAUUGCACAAUGGGCGGAAGCCUGAUGCAGCGACGCCGCGUGAGGGAUGACGGCCUUCGGGUUGUAAAC
rnacentral:rRNA from 1 species